AAACUUUUAACAACGGAUCUCUUGGUUCUGGCAUCGAUGGAAAAACGCAGCGAAAUGCGAUAAGUAAUGUGAAUUGCAGAAUUCAGUGAAUCAUCGAAUCUUUGAACGCACAUUGCGCCCGCCAGCAUUCUGGCGGGCAUGCCUGUUCGAGCGUCAUUU
rnacentral:rRNA from 1 species